rnacentral:rRNA from 1 species
UCGGGAAUUUUGGGCAAUGGGGGAAACCCUGACCCAGCAACGCCGCGUGAAGGAUGAAGUAUUUCGGUAUGUAAACUUCGAAAGAAUAGGAAGAAUAAAUGACGGUACUAUUUAUAAGGUCCGGCUAACUACGUGCCAGCAGCCGCGGUAAUACGUAGGGACCAAGCGUUGUUCGGAUUUACUGGGCGUAAAGGGCGCGUAGGCGGCAUGACAAGUCACUUGUGAAAUCUCUGGGCUUAACCCAGAACGGCCAAGUGAUACUGUCGCGCUAGAGUGCAGAAGGGGCAAUCGGAAUUCUUGGUAUAGCGGUGAAAUGCGUAGAUAUCAAGAGGAACACCUGAGGUGAAGACGGGUUGCUGGGCUGACACUGACGCUGAGGCGCGAAAGCCAGGGGAGCAAACGGGAUUAGAUACCCCCGUAGUCCCUGAGCGGGCUGGCAAGGCGCAU